rnacentral:lncRNA from 1 species
GUGAAUUAGUUUCUCGUUCUUACCACAAUCCCACUUGGGAUGCAGUUACUGUGGGUGAUUCACAGAUGAGGAAACCCAUGAUUAAAGCAGUAAGUGCCUAUUCCUAGUUAGAGAAAGGAACUUAACAUGUCUCUUGACCUCAUAAGUCAGUGCUCAGCGGCUACCUAGAGUUAUCUCAUUUAUCCCAGCCCACAGCACUGCUGCCUUCCAACUUGAAGGGCAUGUAGGGCCUUGUUUGCGGGAUCUCCCCACACACCCCCAGCUGGCUUCAUCUGAUUCUGGAAUUUAGCCAUGUGACAGUGUGUCAGGAAUCCCCAUGCUAUAUCGAUGCAUUCUCCAUAUGGAUUUGAACCUGCAAACACCUCUGCACACAGGUCAUGCUUACGCAUCUGUUCAUUUGGUGAGACCAGGUCUCACUAGAUAGCCCAGGCAGGCUUCAAGCUUUCUUUAUAGUUGAGGCUAUCCUCUAAUUCACCUUUCUGCCGCCCCAGGCUCCAGAACUCUCAGGUUACACGCUGGUGCCGCAUUACUUGGCUUCUGUUCAAUUUAUUCACUGUCCAUUCUAGAAUUCCUGCCUCUGGAAUGGCUAUCUCAGAGUCCAUCCUGACUUUCUGGAAAGAUCUUCUAAAGCUCAGAGUUCCGGGAAGUCUCCACAGCUUGCUUCUGCCUUCUGGGCCUUCUCGUGCUUCUCUGGCCCCACAGAUGUGACCAUUCAUAUCCCUCGGCUUUUGCCCCUGGAUACAGCCCUUCACCUCUACACCCUUCCUCAAAUCCACACAGAGAAGGAACAGUAAAUGAUUGGCAAGGGGCAUCUGCAUGGGAGAGAGAGGAGAAGACCAUUCCAAGAAAUGUGAAAGUCUGUGGUGAGCUAGAUCUGGCUGCUUGCAACCUUACCUGCCUGGGUCAGCACUUCACUCUCUGCAGACACCUUGUCUGUUCAGAUCAUCACAGUGAAUGUGUCAAAAUGAGACUCCCCCCAGCCCCCGAAGUACCUUCACAGAGGCUAUGGAAUAAAAAACCAAGGUGCAUACCCUGUGGUUCCAACAGACCUGUAGUCCCUGGAGAGAGGGAAGCAAUCUGGAACUGGAAUGGACAUUUUCUUGACAGCCUCCAAAAGCAGUGGCUCUGCAGGAGGCAUGGACGAGCACUCAACGGAGCUUUUUUUCUUUAACCCUCAGCAAUCGUGAUGGGUAGGUAUUCUGCUUAAAUUUACAAAUGAACAAGAAAACAGAAAUUUAAACAGUCUGAAUAACUGCUAAGAUCACAUGGGUUUGGGGUGGUUCCAAAACAUUUGGUUUUGUUGUCAUUGCUGUUUGUUUGGUUUUGAUAUAAACCAAACAUUUAACAUAAAGGGUAAGCCGAAGUCUAAGUCCUUUAUAGAUAUAAAACCUUUAUUCAUGUCUG